UUUUUUUUUUUUUUUCUAAUCUCAAAUCAAUAGAAGAAAAAUUGAACAUAAAAUAUAUGCUUUUGUUUCUUUUUGGUUAUGAGACUUCUGUACAAUUGAUUUCCCCUUUUGUAUAACAUUCUUCACCUUUAUUUGGUUUCUCCGUCUCUUCAUCAUGCCUUUGAAUAAAGAAGAAAGCCCAUAUAAAGGAAGAGGCCCUUUGCUUCUUGUGAAGUCAAUGGUGCCCCUUUCUCUCUUGAAGUUGGAGAACAAAACUAUGGUUUCUGGGACAAUUUGAUUGGCAAGCCAUUCUGGGGAAGGGCAAAAGGGCCAUACUGAAUCCCAUUGUCUGAACCCACCAUAGACCAUCUGUACUUAGUGGUCAGGUGAUGGAGGAGGACCAAAAUCUCCAGCUUAGCUAACUCAUUCCCCGGACAUGAAUGUGUCCCAUUGCCAAAUGGCAUGAAAGUAUUGGGCUUCGGUGCAACCUCAAAUCUUGUAGGAUCAAACUUUUCAGGAUCUGGAAAGAUUUCUGGGUUAUGGUGAAUGUUUCUGAAAAGCGGCAAAACUUUCCAUCCUUUUGGGAUCAAAUACCCUUGAUACUCAACAUCCUCAACAGCCUCUCUGAAUGUAAAAGACAAAAUUGAAGCAACUCUCAGUGUCUCUUGAAUCACCCUUGAAGUAAUUGGCAUCUUCUUGGUAUCUGCCCAACUGAGAAGCUUCUCCUCACCACAGUUCUCUUUACUGGCUGCUAUGUCCUCUUGCUCUUCGAUGACAGCUUGAAGGACACCGGGGUUUUCUCCAAGGUACUUGAGAAUCCAUGUUAGAACACUAGCUGUUGUGUCACGAGCUGCAAAGAUAACACCUAUAAUGUUAUCGGCGAUUUGUUCGUCAGUGAGGCCUUCCCUGUCACCCAUGAAAGAUCCAAGCAGGUCGUUUUGAUGAAGAUUCAUUUCCCUUCUGCUAGAGAGAAUUUUGGCUAAGAUCUGAGAAAGCUCUUUUCUUGCUUUCAUGGAUUUGUUGAAGAGUGUCCCUGGUAGAUUAAUGGGCAUUGAAUUGUAUCCUUUCUCAAGAAUGUAGUAACAUCUCUUCAGAUCUUCUCUGUAUAGAGACUCUUCUUUUCCAAAUAUUGAAAGCAGUGCAACGUUGAACGUGAAUGUUUUCAUUUCUUGGAAAGUGUUGACAAUUCUUCCUUCCCAAGAUUUAAGAGAGUCUUUUGCAAUGGAUUCGAUGUCAGAGACAAUGUUUUUGAUCGAUUCAGGUACGAAAGCACGAAGAACAAGUCUUCUCAAUUGGGCAUGGUAGUCUCCUUGGUGAAAGAAGAUGGCUUGUUUGCCUAACAUCCUUUCUUUACUUGCUGGAAAUGUUGGCUUGAAGAGAUGAGCUCUCGUUACAAGCACGAAUCUUGCAGCUUCUGGACUUGAAAUCAUUACACAAGGACAACCCAAGAUGUGGGUCUUGAAGACAGAGCCAAACCUCUUCUGUUUAGAGGCAAAAAAGACAUUUGGGUUUUGAGAAUAGAGUUGGAAGGUUUCGCCAAUGUAAGGCCAACCCAAUGAGCCAGGAGGGAGAGGCAAAGUCCGG
rnacentral:misc_RNA from 1 species